UACGGGGGGAGCAAGCGUUGUUCGGAUUUACUGGGCGUAAAGGGCGCGUAGGCGGCCAGCGCAAGUCAGUUGUGAAAUCUCCGGGCUUAACUCGGAACGGUCAGCUGAUACUGCGCGGCUAGAGUGCAGAAGGGGCAACUGGAAUUCUCGGUGUAGCGGUGAAAUGCGUAGAUAUCGAGAGGAACACCGGUGGCGAAGGCGGCGACCUGGGUAGAUACUGACGCUGAGGCGCGAAAGCGUGGGGAGCAAACAGG
rnacentral:rRNA from 1 species